AUUGAACGCUGGCGGCAUGCCUUACACACGCAAGUCGAACGGCAGCACGGGAGCAAUCUUGGUGGCGAGUGGCGAACGGGUGAGUAAAGUAUCGGAACGUGCUCAGUCGUGGGGGAUAACGUAGCGAAAGUUACGCUAAUACCGCAUACGAUCUAUGGAUGAAAGCGGGGGAUCGCAAGACCUCGCGCGAUUGGAGCGGCCGAUAUCAGAUUAGGUAGUUGGUGGGGUAAAGGCUCACCAAGCCGACGAUCUGUAGCUGGUCUGAGAGGACGACCAGCCACACUGGGACUGAGACACGGCCCAGACUCCUACGGGAGGCAGCAGUGGGGAAUUUUGGACAAUGGGCGAAAGCCUGAUCCAGCCAUGCCGCGUGCAGGAUGAAGGCCUUCGGGUUGUAAACUGCUUUUGUACGGAACGAAAAGGUUUGGGCUAAUAAGCUGAGCUCAUGACGGUACCGUAAGAAUAAGCACCGGCUAACUACGUGCCAGCCGCCGCCGUAA
rnacentral:rRNA from 1 species